rnacentral:rRNA from 1 species
GAUGAACGCUGGCGGCGUGCCUAAUACAUGCAAGUCGAGCGAACGGACGAGAAGCUUGCUUUUCUGAUGUUAGCGGCGGACGGGUGAGUAACACGUGGAUAACCUACCUAUAAGACUGGGAUAACUUCGGGAAACCGGAGCUAAUACCGGAUAAUAUUUUGAACCGCAUGGUUCAAAAGUGAAAGACGGUCUUGCUGUCACUUAUAGAUGGAUCCGCGCUGCAUUGGCUAGUUGGUAAGGUAACGGCUUACCAAGGCAACGAUGCAUAGCCGACCUGAGAGGGUGAUCGGCCAAACUGGAACUGAGACACGGUCCAGACUCCUACGGGAGGCAGCAGUAGGGAAUCUUCCGCAAUGGGCGAAAGCCUGACGGAGCAACGCCGCGUGAGUGAUGAAGGUCUUCGGAUCGUAAAACUCUGUUAUUGGGGAAGAACAUAUGUGUAAGUAACUGUGCACAUCUUGACGGUACCUAAUCAGAAAGCCACGGCUAACUACGUG